rnacentral:rRNA from 1 species
GUUGACCUCGGAUCAGGUAGGAAUACCCGCUGAACUUAAGCAUAUCAAUAAGCGGAGGAAAAGAAACCAACAGGGAUUGCCCUAGUAACGGCGAGUGAAGCGGCAACAGCUCAAAUUUGAAAUCUGGCCCUUGGGUCCGAGUUGUAAUUUGUAGAGGAUGUUUUUGGUGCGGUAUCUUCCGAGUUCCUUGGAACAGGACGCCUUAGAGGGUGAGAGCCCCGUACGGUUGAAUGCCUAGCCUUUGUAAAACUCCUUCGACGAGUCGAGUAGUUUGGGAAUGCUGCUCUAAAUGGGAGGUAAAUUUCUUCUAAAGCUAAAUACUGGCCAGAGACCGAUAGCGCACAAGUAGAGUGAUCGAAAGAUGAAAAGCACUUUGAAAAGAGGGUUAAAUAGCACGUGAAAUUGUUGAAAGGGAAGGAUUUAUGACCAGACUUUUUCUGGGCGGAUCAUCCGGUGUUCUCACCGGUGCACUUCGCUCAGUUUAGGCCAGCAUCGAUUUUCGGUGGGGGAUAAAAGCUUUAGGAAUGUGGCUCCUCCGGGAGUGUUAUAGCCUAUUGUAUAAUACCCUACUGGGGAUCGAGGUACGCGCUUCUGCAAGGAUGCUGGCGUAAUGGUUAUCAAUCACC